CAAAAGGAGCAGAAGUGGAGAAACACGGAUGCGAGCCUCAGCUACAGUUGUUUCUCAGGAUGUUCGCGAGGACUCUGCCCCUUUUGAGUCAGCUGGGGAGGAUCAUGCAGUGUCAGAGUGCCCUCAACAGUUACUUGACAUUAGGACAAAGGACCAUCCGUCGACGUCAGAAUCAUGGUCAUUGCGUCAAUCUGCAGCCCACGAUGAGUGGCGUAAAGCAAGGCCGUAUCAAUUGAACAGUUUGCUGUCAUGCAAUGAGGUUCCCAAAAAAAACAUGCUGCAACUGCUCAUCUCAAGCAGUCAUUCGUG
ensembl:lncRNA